rnacentral:rRNA from 1 species
GACAACUAGGAUGUUGGCUUAGAAGCAGCCACUCAUUCAAAGAGUGCGUAAUAGCUCACUAGUCGAGUGGGCCUGCGCCGAAGAUUAACGGGUCUAAAACCGUAUACCGAAGCUAUGGAUACAUAUCGUUGAUAUGUGUGGUAGGGGAGCGUGCCGCAGUAGGCAGAAGCACCACCGAAAGGAGGUGUGGACGAAACGGCAGUGAGAAUGCCGGAAUGAGUAGCGAAAGUGAAGUGAGAAUCUUUACCAUCGAAAAUCCGAGGUUUCCUGGGCAAGGCUCGUCCUCCCAGGGUUAGUCGGGACCUAAGCCGAGGCCGAAAGGCGUAGGUGAUGGACAACACGUAGAAAUUCGUGUACCGCCGAUGUCUGCUUGAGAGAAGUGGGGACGCAGAAGGAUAGCGUGAGCCGGCCGCCGGAAGAGCCGGUUCAAGCGUUGAGGGUAUCGUGUAGGCAAAUCCGCACGAUGUUAAGCCUGAGACGUUACGGGGAGGGAAAUACAAGUACCGAAGCAUGCGAGUCCACGCUGACGAGAAAAGCCACUAUUGAGGACAUAGGCGCCCGUACCGCAAACCGACACAGGUGGAUGAGGAGAGGAUCCUAAGAUGAGCGGAAUAAGCAUUGUUAAGGAACUCGGCAAAUUGGCCCCGUACGUUCGCAAUAAGGGGCGCUUGAGAGAUCAAGCCGCAGUGAAAUGGCCCAAGCAACUGUUUACCAAAAACACAGGUCUCUGCUAAAUCGAAAGAUGAAGUAUAGGGGCUGACGCCUGCCCAGUGCUGGAAGGUUACGGGGAUUCGUUAGCGCAAGCGAAGCGAUGAACUUAAGCCCCAGUAAACGGCGGCCGUAACUAUAACGGUCCUAAGGUAGCGAAAUUCCUUGUCAGGUAAGUUCUGACCCGCACGAAUGGCGUAAUGAUUUGGGCGCUGUCUCAACAAUGCAUCCGGUGAAAUUGUAGUACUCGUGAAGAUGCGAGUUACCCGCGACUAGACGGAAAGACCCCAUGGAGCUUUACUGUAACCUGAUAUUGGGUUCUGGCAUUUCUUGUACAGGAUAGGUGGGAGGCGUUGAAACUUGUGCGUCAGCAUAAGCGGAGCCGACGUUGGGAUACCACCCUGGAGAUGCCGGGAUUCUAACCGUAAGCCGUAAUCCGGUUUCGGGACACUGUCAGGCGGGCAGUUUGACUGGGGCGGUCGCCUCCAAAAGAGUAACGGAGGCGUUCGAAGGUUGCCUCAGCACGGACGGAAAUCGUGCGUAGAGUAUAAAGGCAGAAGGCAGCUUAACUGAGAGACAAACAGGUCGAUCAGGUACGAAAGUAGGACUUAGUGAUCCGGCGGUAUGAGAGUGGAAUUGCCGUCGCUCAACGGAUAAAAGUUACCCUGGGGAUAACAGGCUGAUUUCCCCCAAGCGUUCACAGCGACGGGGAAGUUUGGCACCUCGAUGUCGGCUCAUCACAUCCUGGAGGUGGAGAAGCUUCCAAGGGUUCGGCUGUUCGCCGAUUAAAGUGGUACGCGAGCUGGGUUCAGAACGUCGUGAGACAGUUCGGUCCCUAUCUGUCGUGGGCGCAGGAUAUUUGAGAGGGUCUGUCCCUAGUACGAGAGGACCGGGAUGGGGGCUCCUAUGGUGCAUCGGUUGUCACGCCAGUGGCACAGCCGGGUAGCCAAGAGCCUUUCGGAUAAGCGCUGAAGGCAUCUAAGCGCGAAGCCAUCCUCAAGAUUAGAUAUCCCAUCCAGUUAAUGGAGUAAGGCCCCAUGUAGACUACAUGGUUGA